CUACUUCGGAGGCUGAAGUGGGAAGAUCACUUGAACCUGGGAGGUCAAGGCUGCAGAGAGCCAUCAUCAUGCCACUUCACUUCAGCCUGGGAAACAGAGUGAGACCUUGAAGAAGAAAGAAAGAAAGGAAAGGAAGAAGAAAGAAAGAAAGGAAGGAAGGAAGAAAGGAAGGAAGGAAGAAAGAAAGCAAGAAACCACAACUGGAAGCCUUAGGAGGUUGGCAUGUAGUGGAUAUUUCUUUUCCAUUCCCUAAACUAUUUCACAGGAUUGAGAGAUCAUAUCCAAUAAAAGUUCGCAACAAAGGCUCAUGAGCGUAAAGGACUGCAAAGGUUUUGGACAGGAGGCCCUGACUGAGUGGAGGCACAUUCCUGGCAGAGGGAAACUGUGAUGGAAGGAAGGGAAACCAAUACACUUCACAAAGACCUUUUUGAACAACAUUGAAAAGAAAAACCCAGAAGAGAAUACAAUAAGGAAUUGUAGAAAAUAAGAUGAGACAGGGAGCAGGGUCCCCAAUUAAGAGGACAUCAAACUUACAUUUUAGGGUGCUGUCAUUUUAAAGUGUUUCUAAAACACUGUAGUUUUUCAUAUUAUUUAAAUGUACAGAAACUUAAACCUAUGGUCCUGUUACCCAGUGAUAUGGUUAGGCUGUGUCCCCACAUCUCAUCUUGAAUUCCCAGGUGUUGUGGGAGGGACCCAGUGGGAGGUGAUUCAAUAAUGGGGGCGGGUCUUUCCUGUGCUGUUCUCUUGGUAGUAAAUAAGUCUCACAAGAUCUGAUGUUUUUAAAAAGGGGGAGUUUCCCUGUACAAGCUCUCUUCUUUUGUCUGCCGCCAUGUGAGACGUGUCUUUCACCUUCCACCAUGAUUGUGAGGCCUCCCCAGCCACGUAGAACUGUUACUCCAAUAAACUUCUUUCUUUUUUCAAAUUGCCCAGUCUCAGGUAUGUCUUUAUCAGCAGCAUGAGUACAGACUAAUACACCCAGCUUAGGAAUAAAACACUAUUAAUGCAGUUGAAAUCUCCUAUGUUUUGUUCCAUAAUCAUAAUUAAUUUCUCCCUUAGCAGAGAUAAUCAUUAUCCUACAUUUGGUGUUUAUUAUUCUUAAGCAUUUCUUAUACUCAG
rnacentral:lncRNA from 10 species